rnacentral:rRNA from 1 species
AUUGAACGCUGGCGGCAGGCCUAACACAUGCAAGUCGAACGAGUGGCGGACGGGUGAGUAUUGUCUGGGAAACUGCCUGCUGGUGGGGGAUCACUACUGGAAACGGUAGCUAUUACCGCAUACCAUCAGAUGUGCCCAGAUGGGAUUGGCUAGUUGGUGGGGUAACGGAUCACCAAGGCGACGAUCCCUAGCUGGUCUGAGAGGAUGACCAGCCACCCUGGAACGGAGACACGGUCCAGACUCCUACGGGACGCGGUGGUGGGGAAUAUUGCACAAUGGGGGAAAGCCUGAUGCAGCCAUGCCGCGUGGAUGAAGAGAGCCAUCGGGUUGUAAAGUUCAUUCAGCUGGGAGGCGUUACCCGAAGAAGAAGCACCGGCUAACUCCGUGCCAGCAGCCGCGGUAAUAC